UGCCGCUUGCGAGGGCGUAUGGUGGAUGCCUUGGCAGACAGUACCGAUGAAGGACGUUUGAGGAUGCGAUAAUCCUAGGGGAGCCUCCAACAUGGCUUUGAUCCUAGGGUCUCCGAAUGGGGGAACCCGCCGGCCGUCAUGGGCCGGCACCGCCUAUGGGCGGGGGGUACGCAGGGAAGUGAAACAUCUCAGUACCUGCAGGAAGGGAUACUCCGUGAGUAGUGGCGAGCGAAAGCGGAUCAGACCAAACCGGUUGCGCGUGAUACCCGUCGGGGGUUGCGUUGCCGGUGUCGUGGGAUCACGUGUCCCGGUUCCGACGGGCCGGGCGGGAGUCAUAAAACGGCUUGCCAGGGGAACAGGCUUGAAGGCCUGGCCGUAGAGGGUGCCAGCCCCGUACCUGGACGUGAGCCGUCUUCCGAUCGUGUUGUCCCAAGUAGCGCGGGCCUCGUGGAAUCCCGCGUGAAUCAGCCCAGACCGUUGGGUAAGUCUAAGCAUACCUGUCUGACCGAUAGCGUACCAGUACCGUGAGGGAAAGGUGAAAAGCACCCCGGGAGGGGAGUGAAACAGUUCCUGAAACCGUGCGCCCACAAACCGUCGGAGCCUCCUUGUGGGGUGACGGCGUGCCUAUCGAAAAAUGAGUCUGCGAGUCAGUGGCGGGUGGCGAGCAUAAGCCGUGUGGCGUAUGCGUAGCGAAAGCGAGUCUUAAAAGGCGUUUGUAGUCGCUUGUCCUGGACCCGAAGCGGGAUGAUCUAGCCCUGGGCAGGUUGAAGCGCGGGUAAGACCGCGUGGAGGACCGAACCCACCUGGGUUGAAAACCGGGGGGAUGACCUGGGGCUAGGGGUGAAAGGCCAAUCAAAUUCCGUGAUAGCUGGUUCUCUCCGAAAUGCAUUUAGGUGCAGCGUCGGUCGAUUGCGUCGCGGGGGUAGAGCUACCGGAUGCUUGCGGGCCCUUGUUGGGUACCAACAGCAGCCGAACUCCGAAUACCGUUGACGUGUAUUCCGGCAGUGAGUCGGCGGGGGAUAAGCUCCGUCGUCGAGAGGGAGACAGCCCAGACCGUCGUCUAAGGUCCCGAAGCGUGUGCUAAGUGGGAAAGGAUGUGGAGUCGCAUAGACAGCCAGGAGGUUGGCUCAGAAGCAGCCAUCCUUGAAAGAGUGCGUAACAGCUCACUGGUCUAGUGGUUCCGCGCCGACAAUGUAGCGGGGCUCAAGCACACCACCGAAGACGCGGCAGCAAUCUUCAUGGUUGCUGGGUAGGAGAGCGUCCUGCGAGGGGCGAAGCGGCCGGGUAACCGUGCCGUGGACUUCGUGGGAGUGAGAAUGCAGACAUGAGUAGCGAGAGACGGGUGAGGAUCCCGUCCGCUGGAUGACCAAGGGUUCCGGGGCCACGUUCGUCGUCCCCGGGUGAGUCGGGUCCUAAGGCGAGGCCGACAGGCGUAGUCGAAUGGAUGAACGGGUGGAUAUUCCCGUACCGACCAUGGACCGGCAAAACCGAGACGGUGAGUACUAACCUCCGCCUCGUGGUGGUUCCUUCCUUCGGGUUGGUAUCGCCGCGUGGCGUUGGGAGCGUAGCCGCAGUAGGUCAGCGCAGGGGUGACACGGAAUGGGAGCCGGCCGCGGAGGUGGUUUUCCGUGGUCAAGCACGCAGCCAGUCAUGUAGGCAAAUCCGCAUGGCGUGCAUGGCGAGGUGUGAUGAUGGGAGCCGUUAUGGCUCGAUAUCCGGUUGUCCAGGCCGUCGAGAAAAGCCUCGGCGUGAGGGCCAUGGCCGCCCGUACCCCAAACCGACACUGGUGGUCAGGUAGAGAAUACCAAGGCGAUCGAGCGAAUCCUGGUCAAGGAACUCGGCAAAUCACUCCCGUGCCUUCGGUAUAAGGGAGACCCACUGGGGUGAAGGACCUUGCGUCCGGAGCUUUGGUGGGUGGCACAGACCAGGGGGUAGCGACUGUUUACCAAAAACACAGGUGCAUGCGAAGGCGAAAGCCGCUGUAUAUGCACUGACGCCUGCCCGGUGCCGGAAGGUUAAGAGGAUCCGUCAAUCCCUUCGGGAUGAAGCGGUGAAUUCAAGCCCCGGUAAACGGCGGUGGUAACUAUAACCAUCCUAAGGUAGCGAAAUUCCUUGUCGGGUAAGUUCCGACCUGCACGAAUGGCGUA
rnacentral:rRNA from 1 species